UAAAUUUUAAGUUAUAUAAACUAAGAACCUUCAAAGUUCUCAAAAAGAAAACUCUUAAAUUUAA
rnacentral:tRNA from 1 species